GACGAACGCUGGCGGCGUGCCUAAUACAUGCAAGUCGAGCGAGCUUGCCUAGAUGAAUUUGGUGCUUGCACCAAAUGAAACUAGAUACAAGCGAGCGGCGGACGGGUGAGUAACACGUGGGUAACCUGCCCAAGAGACUGGGAUAACACCUGGAAACAGAUGCUAAUACCGGAUAACAACACUAGACGCAUGUCUAGAGUUUAAAAGAUGGUUCUGCUAUCACUCUUGGAUGGACCUGCGGUGCAUUAGCUAGUUGGUAAGGUGACGGCUUACCAAGGCAAUGAUGCAUAGCCGAGUUGAGAGACUGAUCGGCCACAUUGGGACUGAGACACGGCCCAAACUCCUACGGGAGGCAGCAGUAGGGAAUCUUCCACAAUGGACGCAAGUCUGAUGGAGCAACGCCGCGUGAGUGAAGAAGGGUUUCGGCUCGUAAAGCUCUGUUGGUAGUGAAGAAAGAUAGAGGUAGUAACUGGCCUUUAUUUGACGGUAAUUACUUAGAAAGUCACGGCUAACUACGUGCCAGCAGCCGCGGUAAUACGUAGGUGGCAAGCGUUGUCCGGAUUUAUUGGGCGUAAAGCGAGUGCAGGCGAUUCAAUAAGUCUGAUGUGAAAGCCUUCGGCUCAACCGGAGAAUUGCAUCAGAAACUGUUGAACUUGAGUGCAGAAGAGGAGAGUGGAACUCCAUGUGUAGCGGUGGAAUGCGUAGAUAUAUGGAAGAACACCAGUGGCGAAGGCGGCUCUCUGGUCUGCAACUGACGCUGAGGCUCGAAAGCAUGGGUAGCGAACAGG
rnacentral:rRNA from 1 species